GACGGAGGGUGCAAGCGUUAAUCGGAAUUACUGGGCGUAAAGCGUGCGUAGGCGGUUAAUUAAGUCAGAUGUGAAAGCCGCGGGCUUAACCUGGGAACUGCAUUUGAUACUGGUUAACUAGAGUUUAGUAGAGGAGAGUGGAAUUUCAGGUGUAGCGGUGAAAUGCGUAGAUAUCUGAAGGAACACCGGUGGCGAAGGCGACUCUCUGGACUAAAACUGACGCUGAGGUACGAAAGCGUGGGUAGCAAACAGG
rnacentral:rRNA from 1 species